rnacentral:rRNA from 1 species
UACGGAGGGUGCAAGCGUUAUCCGGAUUCACUGGGUUUAAAAGGGUGCGUAGGUGGGCAAGUAAGUCAGUGGUGAAAUCUCCGGGCUUAACCCGGAAACUGCCAUUGAUACUAUUUGUCUUGAAUACUGUGGAGGUCAGCGGAAUAUGUCAUGUAGCGGUGAAAUGCUUAGAUAUCGGAAGGAACAUCAGUGGCGAAAGCGACUUCCUGGACCCAAUACUGACGCUCAUGUGCGAAAAGCCGUGGGGAGCAAAC